GCCGGGCCCCGUGGCUGGUGCCUGUGAUCCCAGCUCCCGGGGAGGCUGAGGCCGGCGGAUCGCUUGAGCUCGGGAGUUCUGGGCUGCAGCGGGCUGUGCCGAUCGGGUGUCCGCACUAAAUUCGGCAUCAAUAUGGNCAAAACUACCGUGCUGAUCAGUAGUGGGAUCGCGCCUGUGAAUAGCCCCUGCAGCGUAGCCUGGGCAAGAGAGUGAGACCCGGUGUCU
rnacentral:SRP_RNA from 1 species